GAUAGCUCAGUUGGUUAGAGUAUGGCGCUGACAAUGCCAAGUUUGCGGGUUCAAUCCAGCUGCAUAUUCCUGCAUUGCA
rnacentral:tRNA from 1 species